AUUGAACGCUGGCGGCAUGCCUUACACAUGCAAGUCGAACGGCAGCACGGGAGCAAUCCUGGUGGCGAGUGGCGAACGGGUGAGUAAUAUAUCGGAACGUGCCCAGUCGUGGGGGAUAACGCAGCGAAAGCUGUGCUAAUACCGCAUACGAUCUAUGGAUGAAAGCGGGGGAUCGCAAGACCUCGCGCGAUUGGAGCGGCCGAUAUCAGAUUAGCUAGUUGGUGGGGUAAAGGCCAACCAAGGCGACGAUCUGUAGCUGGUCUGAGAGGACGACCGGCCACACUGGAACUGAGACACGGUCCUGACUCCUACGGGAGGCAGCAGUGGGGAAUGUUGGACAAUGGGCGCAAGCCUGAUCCAACAAUGCCGCGUGCAGGAUGAAGGCCUUCGGGUUGUAAACUGCUUUUGUACGGAGCGAAACGGUCUGCCCUAAUACGGUGGGCUAAUGACGGUACCGUAAGAAUAAGCACCGGCUAACUACGUGCCAGCCGCCGCCGUAA
rnacentral:rRNA from 1 species